rnacentral:rRNA from 1 species
UGCGUAGGCGGCUUGGUAAGUCACGUGUGAAAGGCCGGGGCUCGAACCCCCGGAUCUGCAUGUGAGACUGCCUGGCUCGAGCACGGUAGAGGCGGGCGGAAUUCCUGGUGUAGCGGUGGAAUGCGUAGAUAUCAGGAAGAACACCGGUGGCGAGGGCGGCUCGCUGGGCCGUUGCUGACGCUGAGGCACGAAAGCGUGGGGAGCAAACAGGAUUAGAUACCCUGGUAGUCCACGCCCUAAACGAUGGACACUAGGCGUCGGGGGGAGCGACCCUCCCGGUGCCGUCGCUAACGCAAUAAGUGUCCCGCCUGGGGAGUACGGCCGCAAGGCUGAA